GACGAACGCUGGCGGCGUGCCUAAUACAUGCAAGUAGAACGCUGAAGGAGGAGCUUGCUUCUCUGGAUGAGUUGCGAACGGGUGAGUAACGCGUAGGUAACCUGCCUGGUAGCGGGGGAUAACUAUUGGAAACGAUAGCUAAUACCGCAUAAGAGUAGAUGUUGCAUGACAUUUGCUUAAAAGGUGCAAUUGCAUCACUACCAGAUGGACCUGCGUUGUAUUAGCUAGUUGGUGGGGUAACGGCUCACCAAGGCGACGAUACAUAGCCGACCUGAGAGGGUGAUCGGCCACACUGGGACGGAGACACGGCCCAGACUCCUACGGGAGGCAGCAGUAGGGAAUCUUCGGCAAUGGACGGAAGUCUGACCGAGCAACGCCGCGGGAGUGAAGAAGGUUUUCGGGUCGUAAAGCUCUGUUGUAAGAGAAGAACGAGUGUGAGAGUGGAAAGUUCACACUGUGACGGUAUCUUACCAGAAAGGGACGGCUAACUACGUG
rnacentral:rRNA from 1 species